GUGCUCACUUCGGCAGCACAUGUACUAAAAUUGGACCGAUACAGAGAAGAUGAGCAUGGCUCCCGCGCAAAGAUGACGCGAAAAUUCAUGAAGCCUUCCAUAUUUUU
ensembl:snRNA U6 U6 spliceosomal RNA